rnacentral:rRNA from 1 species
AUUGAACGCUGGCGGAAUGCUUUACACAUGCAAGUCGAACGGCAGCACGGACUUCGGUCUGGUGGCGAGUGGCGAACGGGUGAGUAAUGUAUCGGAACGUGCCCAGUCGUGGGGGAUAACGUAGUGAAAAUUACGCUAAUACAGCAUACGAUCUAUGGAUGAAAGCGGGGGAUCGCAAGACCUCGCGCGAUUGGAGCGGCCGAUAUCAGAUUAGGUAGUUGGUGGGGUAAAGGCCCACCAAGCCAACGAUCUGUAGCUGGUCUGAGAGGACGACCAGCCACACUGGAACUGAGACGCGGUCCAGACGCCUACGGGAGGCAGCAGUGGGGAAUUUUGGACAAUGGGCGAAAGCCUGAUCCAGCCAUUCCGCGUGCAGGAUGAAGGCACUCGGGUUGUAAACUGCUUUUGUACAGAACGAAAAGGUUUCUACUAAUACUAGGAGCUCAUGACGGUACUGUAAGAAUAAGCACCGGCUAACUACGUGCCAGCAGCCGCUGUAA